UGUAGUUCUGAAGCUUAAUUUUGUUCCAACGCUAAACAGGGUUGGUCAACAGGUUUUAGUAAUUUAAUUAGCCUUAAACAUUUUCGCAUGGUGGUAAUUAACACUCACUUAGUCACUUAUUGUUGGUGUUCCCUUGAAGCUGGGAGUAUUGUUAUUGCAGAUAAUUCUAUCAAGUCUUGGCUUAGCUUAGCUACUACGGAGUAUUAAGAUUAAAGGCUUAAGCUACUAUUAAGAUUAAAGAUGGUUGUGGGCCCGACCCGGCACAGGCACGAAGUCGUGGCCAUAAUUUUUUGGAAAAAGCACGCAAAAUUUUGUAAAAUCAGCCUUAGGCACGACGGCCGGCCCGGCACAAAAGCCCGUGGGCUCGUGCCGGGACUAGGCAUUGUUUUGAACUUUUCGGCCCGGCCCGCUACGAUACAACGUGGGCCUAGAUUGUGCCUGGUCCGGCUAGGCCCACGACCCGUGGUCUUGACACGAAGCCCGGCCCGGCCCACGACCAUCUUCAAUUAAGAUGAUAUGGUGAUGCCAACAAUGGAGGCAUGGAGCUUAGCUUGCAUGGGGUUACAGGUUGUUAAAUGGAUGAGUUGGCAGGCAGUGCCUAAAAAGUAUUCCAUUUCGUUUGAAUUCUGAUAAUUAGGCUGCCUUCUACGCAGUGUUAGGAGAGGCACAACACAAGAAAGAAUGUCUUCCUGAGAAGAGGGAAUAAGAAGGGCAGAUUAAGUAAGAUCUAUUGAAUAUUGUUGUUGAGGAAACCAGACAGUAACAUUACACUAUUAGUCAUUAGUCAGCAGUAACAUUACACACUUAUCUAGAAUCUUGCAGAUCAAAGCCAGGAGCUAUUCUCACAAAAUACUUUCUUCUACCCAAACCCUGUUAGCAUCGAUCUACUCCCUCCGUUUCUUUUUGUUUGUUAUAUACGUAGUAUUCCUUUUUUUUAAUGCAGAUUACAUAGAUCAACGCGGUGAUGUUUCAUGCCUUCAUAAUUAAUUUAAAUUUAGAAAAUGUAUUAAGUUCUUAUUUGACAACUAUAGACCGGGCCGGGGCUGCAUAUAUCUUACCAGUUAAUCAAGGACUUCUAGUUGAUCAUCAAGUUGAUGACAUGAUAUAAUUAAAGAUUAUAAGCAUCCUCAAGCAGUUGAGACCAUACAUGAAAGAUACUAUAUGCUCUAGACAAAUAAACAAAAAGAUGGAGAUAAGAUUUGUCAAGUUUUGAUUCUCUAAAGCAUAUAUGCAACGUGAAAAUAUAAAAAUAUUACAAUUUUCACGACUAUAUAAGAACACCUUGGACGUUCCUCAUUUGUAUCUCACUCAAGCAAACCAAACCCAAUCAAUCAUAUAUACUCCAGUAGUAGUAAUCCCUCCAAACAAAACCAACAACAAUGUUUUCCAUCCCUGGCCAAGACUCCCCCUCUGGCGCUUUCGGAAAUACCGUAACUGGUACGGUGACUAAUGCCAUCCCUGGCCAAGACUCCCCCGGCUUUUUAACUGGCCCCUUUGGCGGAGCAGCCGCCUUUGGCGCUUACGGAAAUACCGUAACUGAUACUGUGACUAAUGCCAUCCCUGGCCAAGACUCCCCCCUGGCGCUUUAGAAAAUUCCGUAACUGGCCCUGUCACAGAGGUACUGCUAAUGGACAGCAACCAUGCAUGGUGUUAGUAUAAUAAAAUGUCCUCUUAGCCUCUAAGAAUAGGCUACUUGUUACGGGCCAUUCAUACGAUGUGUGCUUUGCGAUCUUGUACUGUAUUUUGUUUGACUAUGUAUUUCGGUUUUCUAAUGAAGUUAUAAUACAUGGUUUUUGUUUUAAAAGAA